UACGGAGGGUGCAAGCGUUAUUCGGAAUCACUGGGCGUAAAGGGUGCGUAGGCGGUUUGGUAAGUCAGAUGUGAAAGCCUAUGGCUCAACCAUAGAACAGCAUUUGAAACUACUGAACUAGAAUACUGAAGGGGCAGAUGGAAUUAGUGGUGUAGGGGUAAAAUCCGUAGAUAUCACUAGGAAUACCGAAAGCGAAAGCGAUCUGCUGGGAAGUUAUUGACGCUGAGGCACGAAAGCGUGGGGAGCAAACGGG
rnacentral:rRNA from 1 species